rnacentral:lncRNA from 1 species
AGUAGCUAAAUACACCAGAUUUUUAAAGAGAGAGAGAGGGAGAGAGAAAGGGUGUUGAGUCAAUUUUUUUUCCCAUGUAUAUGAAAUAAGCAUUUUAUACAAAAAGCUACAAAACUAUCUGCAUUGAACCAACUUCAUAAAUUUCUUCCUUCAAACCCAUGAUGUCUUGACAUUUCUAAAUUUACAUUUUAAUUUUGAACAAACUAAAAUGCAAACACAUCUAAGACAGUUUAUAAAUAUGCUAGUGAUUCCUAUUCCUGGGCAUCAAACCAGACUCCACACUGUCUGGUCAGAUAAAAUACUGUCUGGUUGUAACAAUGUCAAGUCCUUUGCAGGUUUUUUUUUUCUGUCAUCUGUUGUAACUAAAAAUAAUCUUAAUGACCAACUAGUUCUCCCAAGAAACAGUCCUGCCCCACCCCACCCAGGUGGAGACCAGAAAUACCUGAGAAGGGGGCGGAGUGGGAAGCCGGAGCGGGAAUCCGGACAGCUGACCUGCUGCGAGUCAUCAGUCUGCAGAACUUUACAGUUCAAGUCACACCCACACUUUGUAAUUCAAACAGGAGACACACUUUCACACGCGCCCCAGAAUAAUGUGCAAGAAUGUUCACAGCAGUAUUAUGUCCAUCAACAACAGAAUGGACACAGAACUUGGUACUCCACAGUGUGAAGGUACCACAGCAGCAAUGAAGGGCAGCCACUGCAGUUACACGCCAUCAGCAUGGACUCAUCUGUCAACCCCCAACAGAAGGAAGGCACAAGAGAAUAAAUGCAGUACAAUUCCACAUGUAUAAAGUUCAAGGGCAUGCAAAGUGAAACUAUAGGCAGGCACAGGAGGGAAGCAAAUUGAGGAUGAUUAUCACAAAAAUCAGUUAAGAAAACACAAACUGCAUCAUCCAAAAAUACACCUUUGGUCCACGGAUGCCACUGGAAGACAUCUGAAUUUUAGACCUCCAGAGAGAAGAUCUGGGUGGCUAGCUCCAGAGUGGAGGCAUGCUUGCUUUUUCUUUACACUUGUGAAGAGGAAUGGAUCCGGACAUCUGCAAUCUGGGUAGAGGACGGCAGGCAGCAAGCUUAGCCACUCGGCCAGGCUUCUCAGCCCUUACUCUAGACAUGUGAUCCUUCCUCCACGUGAUAUACUUCACAACUUUCUUACGGCUACUCAAGGCAUCCCAAGUUAAAAGGAAGGUCAGAUGUGAUUCUCACUUUAUUAUGAUAAAAAAAAUUACUAUUUAAAUACUAUAAAUAAAUAUUAUAAUAAAUACUAAGCUAGAACCAUCAGAAUACAUCACUUCUGUAUCCAGUUUUCAAAGUAUCUUUGGUGUUUGUCAGGAAUAAAUAAAAGUAAUCAUUUUAUUUCUAUUAAAUUAUAUCUGGCACUAGUGGCUAGUACUUUUGUACUUAUUAGUACAACCUUAAAAAGUCUUAAAAAGAUUUCUUUUGGUUUCAGAACAUAACCAUUGUUACAUUGUUCUUGUCUCUGCUUUUGUAACAGGGUCUCACUCUGUUGCCCAGGCUGGAGUGCAGUAGUACAAUCAUGGCUUAUUGUAGCGUUGACCUCUCAGGAUCAAGUGAUCCUCUUAUGUCAGCCUCCUGGGUAGCCGGGACCACAAGUGCACACACCACCAUACCCAGGUAAUUUUUAUUUU